rnacentral:rRNA from 1 species
GAUGAACGCUGGCGGCGUGCCUAAUACAUGCAAGUCGAGCGAACAGAUGAGGAGCUUGCUCCUCUGACGUUAGCGGCGUACGGAUGCGUAACACGUCGCUAACCUACCUAUAAGACUGGGAUAAAUUCGGGAAACCUGUGCUAAUACCGGCGAAUAUAUUAAACCGCAUGGUUCAAUAGUGAAAGACGGUUUUGCUAUCACUUAUAGAUGGAUCCGCGCCGCAUUAGCUAGUUGGUAAGGUAACGGCUUACCAAGGCAACGAUGCGUAGCCGACCUGAGAGGGUGAUCAGCCACACUGGAACUGAGACACGGUCCAGACUCCUACGGGAGGCAGCAGUAGGGAAUCUUCCGCAAUGAGCGAAAGCCUGACGGAGCAACGCCGCGUGAGUGAUGAAGGUCUUCGGAUCGUAAAACUCUGUUAUUAGGGAAGAACAAAUGUGUAAGUAACUAUGCACGUCUUGACGGUACCUAAUCAGAAAGCCACGGCUAACUACGUG